GGCCAAGUUUUUAAGGGCGCACGGUGGAUGCCUUGGCACCAGGAACCGAUGAAGGACGUGGGAGGCCGCGAUAGGCCCCGGGGAGCUGUCAACCGAGCUUUGAUCCGGGGGUGUCCGAAUGGGGAAACCCGGCAGUCGUCAUGGGCUGUCACCCACUGCUGAACACAUAGGCAGUGUGGAGGGAACGCGGGGAAGUGAAACAUCUCAGUACCCGCAGGAAGAGAAAACAACCGUGAUUCCGGGAGUAGUGGCGAGCGAAACCGGAUGAGGCCAAACCGUAUGUGUGUGAUACCCGGCAGGGGUUGCGCAUGCGGGGUUGUGGGAGUGUGCUUGAUCAGUCUGCCGGCUGGUCGGAGAGUCAGAAACCGUUGUGGUAGGCGAAGGGCAUGCGAAAGGCCCGGCGUAGAGGGUAAGACCCCCGUAGCUGAAAUCAUGACGGCUCUCUUGCGUAUUUCCCAAGUAGCACGGGGCCCGAGAAAUCCCGUGUGAAUCUGGCGGGACCACCCGCUAAGCCUAAAUAUUCCCUGGUGACCGAUAGCGGAUAGUACCGUGAGGGAAUGGUGAAAAGUACCGCGGGAGCGGAGUGAAAUAGUACCUGAAACCGUGUGCCUACAAGCCGUGGGAGCGUCGCACAGGGGACUUGUUCCUUGUGUCGUGACUGCGUGCCUUUUGAAGAAUGAGCCUG
rnacentral:rRNA from 1 species